AUUACUUGGACAACCGUUCUUUGUACUUCAUCCCUGUCGGACAAAUGAAUUUAUGGCUUCAAUAUUAUCCAGUUCACAUAAAGGAAAUAGGAGCACAAAUUACAUUAUUUCAUGGCUGAGUGUUGUAGGUCCAGUGGUGGGCCUCUGUCUACCUCUGAGUUAUGCAACUGUCAAAUCUGACUAGACUACAAGUGCUGAUUAAAAAGCAGAUACACGAAGAAUGGUGAGUGGGAGAGCUAAACUCAAAUGCAAAGAUAGCAACAACAUCAUGGUGAACAAGCUGUCCACUUCAUCACAAGAUACCUCAGCAUGUUGGACUGCAUUGACAUGAUUGUGUCUUAUGACAAGAAAUAAUUGGUUCUCAUUACAAGGACAGUCCUACUAGAAAGCAAAUGCUCAUUCAUGUAAUGGCUGUUCUUUUUGUGGGCUAACAAUGUGUGGGCAAAGGAUCUGGACUGAUAGAAUCUCCAUUUGGACAUCUGCUUUGUGAAAAAAUUCAGCCACUAUAUUUUUAACAAUUCAUAAACAAUUUCCAAAGCAAUUGGUCUAAGCUCUCACAUGAUGAAAAUCUCCUCUCCUUCUCUUUUGCCAGUAUAGUUUACACAAUUGGCUGAAAAGGAAUAGCUGUAUGCAGAAUUGUCUCCUUCCUCCCAUUUUGGUUCAUCAUACUUAUUCACAACAGUGCUAAGUUAUAGAUAUACAAGUUACCUCACACAUUUCAUAAGAUGUUUUUGUGGCGCAAACAACAUGAA